AUGGUCUUCUGGGUAGGAGCCACCAGAUAAUGGACCGAUGGGAGAAUCAAGGCAGUCCUCAAACGAGUUUAUCUGCUCCGGCCAUACCGCAGAACCUGCCCUUCCCACCUGCCCUUCACAGGAGCUCCUUUCCUGACUCAACAGAGGCCUUUGACCCACGGAAGCCUGAUCCAUAUGAGCUCUACGAGAAAUCUAGGGCCAUUUAUGAAAGUAGGCAACAAGUGCCACCCAGGACCAGUUUUCGAAUGGAUUCCUCUGAAUUGGUGAUGAAAAUGCUUUAAACAGCUAAUCAGACCACCAGAUUGAAAGCCAGAAUACUCAAACAAUUGCGGAAAAUAGUGUUUUAUAAUAGUAGCACUAUUUCAGGGCUGUGGGCUCACAGCACACAUCUCCAGAGUGUUUCCAUGAUGACAGCUCAUUAUCCAUCUCAGCAUGUUCUAACACCCCUUGAAGAAUAUAUGUGCCUGAGAUCAUUUCAUUCUGUCCAGAUUAUAAGGAAUUGGAUGUUCAUCUUCGGAGGAUGGAGUCUGGAUUUGGCUUCAGAAUCCU
rnacentral:lncRNA from 1 species